GUCCACGCCGUAAACGGUGGAUACUAUGUGUGGGAGAUAACCAACUUCUUCCGCGCCGUCGCUAACGCAUUAAGUAUCCCGCCUGGGGAGUACGGCCGCAAGGCUAAAACUCAAAGGAAUUGACGGGGACCCGCACAAGCAGCGUAGCAUGUCGCUUAAUUCGAUGCAACGCGAAGAACCUCACCUGGAUUGAACUACGCCGGAAAAGCUACAGAGAUGUAGUGUCCUUCGGGCCGGCGAUAGGUGGUGCAUGGCUGUCGU
rnacentral:rRNA from 1 species